rnacentral:rRNA from 1 species
UACGUAGGGGGCAAGCGUUGUCCGGAAUCAUUGGGCGUAAAGCGCGUGUGAGGCGGCUUGGUAAGUCUGCUCUGAAAGCCCGGGGCUCAACCCCGGGAGGCGGGUGGAUACUGUCAAGCUCGAGUCCGGAAGAGGAGUGUGGAAUUCCCGGUGUAGUGGUGAAAUGCGUAGAUAUCGGGAGGAACACCAGUGGCGAAGGCGACUACCUGGCCUGUUCUUGACGCUGAGGCGCGAAAGCUAGGGAGCAAACGG